UACGAAGGGGGCUAGCGUUGUUCGGAAUUACUGGGCGUAAAGAGCUCGUAGGUGGUUUGUCGCGUUGUUCGUGAAAACUCACAGCUCAACUGUGGGCGUGCGGGCGAUACGGGCAGACUGGAGUACUGCAGGGGAGACUGGAAUUCCUGGUGUAGCGGUGGAAUGCGCAGAUAUCAGGAGGAACACCGGUGGCGAAGGCGGGUCUCUGGGCAGUAACUGACGCUGAGGAGCGAAAGCGUGGGGAGCGAACAGG
rnacentral:rRNA from 1 species